CUCCUACGGGAGGCAGCAGUAGGGAAUCUUCCGCAAUGGGCGCAAGCCUGACGGAGCAACGCCGCGUGAGUGAGGAAGGCCUUCGGGUUGUAAAACUCAGUCACCUGGGAAGAGAGGUAUGGGGAGUGGAAUGCCCCAUACGAGACGGUACCAGGGGAGGAAGCCCCGGCUAACUACGUGCCAGCAGCCGCGGUAAUACGUAGGGGGCAAGCGUUGUCCGGAAUCACUGGGCGUAAAGCGUGCGUAGGCGGUCUUUCAAGUCCGGGGUGAAAACUCAAGGCUCAACCUUGAGAAUGCCUUGGAAACUGGGGGACUUGAGUACUGGAGAGGCAAGGGGAAUUCCACGUGUAGCGGUGAAAUGCGUAGAGAUGUGGAGGAAUAUCAGUGGCGAAGGCGCCUUGAUGGACAGUGACUGACGCUGAGGCACGAAAGCGUGGGGAGCAAACAGGAUUAGAUACCCUGGUAGUCCACGCCGUAAACGAUGAGUGCUAGGUGUUGGGGGUUCAUCCCCUCAGUGCCGAAGGAAACCCAAUAAGCACUCCGCCUGGGGAGUACGGUCGCAAGACUGAAACUCAAAGGAAUUGACGGGGGCCCGCACAAGCAGUGGAGCAUGUGGUUUAAUUCGAAGCAACGCGAAGAACCUUACCAGGGCUUGACAUCCCUCUGACCGGUUCAGAGAUGGGCCUUCCCUUCGGGGCAGAGGAGACAGGUGGUGCAUGGUUGUCGUCAGCUCGUGUCGUGAGAUGUUGGGUUAAGUCCCGCAACGAGCGCAACCCUUGACCUGUGUUACCAGCACGUAAUGGUGGGGACUCACAGGUGACUGCCGGCGUAAGUCGGAGGAAGGUGGGGAUGACGUCAAAUCAUCAUGCCCUUUAUGUCCUGGGCUACACACGUGCUACAAUGGGCGGCACAACGGGAAGCGAGACCGCGAGGUGGAGCGAAACCCAAAAAGCCGUUCGUAGUUCGGAUUGCAGGCUGCAACCCGCCUGCAUGAAGCCGGAAUUGCUAGUAAUCGCGGAUCAGCAUGCCGCGGUGAAUCUGUUCCCGGGCCUUGCACACACCGCCCGU
rnacentral:rRNA from 1 species